AGCGAACGCUGGCGGCAGGCCUAACACAUGCAAGUCGAACGGAUCCUUCGGGAUUAGUGGCGGACGGGUGAGUAACACGUGGGAACGUGCCCUUUGGUUCGGAACAACUCAGGGAAACUUGAGCUAAUACCGGAUGUGCCCUUCGGGGGAAAGAUUUAUCGCCAUUGGAGCGGCCCGCGUCUGAUUAGCUAGUUGGUGAGGGAAAGGCUCACCAAGGCGACGAUCAGUAGCUGGUCUGAGAGGAUGAUCAGCCACAUUGGGACUGAGACACGGCCCAAACUCCUACGGGAGGCAGCAGUGGGGAAUCUUGCGCAAUGGGCAAAAGCCUGACGCAGCCAUGCCGCGUGAAUGAUGAAGGUCUUAGGAUUGUAAAAUUCUUUCGCCGGGGACGAUAAUGACGGUACCCGGAGAAGAAGCCCCGGCUAACUUCGUGCCAGCCGCCGCCGUAA
rnacentral:rRNA from 1 species